CACGCCAGUAUUCUUUCCUGGAGAAUCCCAUGCACGGAGGAGCCUGGUGGGCUACAGUCCACGGGGUCGCAAAGAGUCGGACACAACUGAGCGACUUCACUCACCCAUGGGGUAUGGUAAGACGUUGACUCGAUUCUCAGCCGUGGAAAGGAAUAGUGAUAAUAGCACUAAUCACAGGGUUGUUGGGAGAGGUAUUUAAAACCACGGGUUUUGUGCGUUGGCCGGUGCGCGCUGCCCACCCAGCUGUCGGUCCGUUUCACGUGAAGGCUCAGGGAACUUGGGGAGCCUGCUUCGUCACGUCCACCAGGGGUCGCUGUUGCCCGCGGGGCUGCGUCCUGGCCGCACCGCACGACCUCUCGCCUCCCGCCUCCAUCAACUCCCACCGUUUGGCCUCCCGCCUCCAUCAACUCCCACCGUUUGGCUCCUAACUCGCUCUGCAUUCACCCAGUUCCUUUGGACCCUACAGUUAAUGGGCUCGCUAUAUCACUGUUUAAACCCAGGAACUAGAAGUCCCCAGUGAUCCAAGCCAGGUCAUCUUUUCUGAUUACCCGGGCCACUUCCUCCCAGUGCGAUUCCUUCUGCAGGAAUCUCAGGCCAUUGCCUAGGCAGAUUUAUCUGGGCUGAUGAUCUCCCCCUGCAGGUCAACCUCACAGUGCCCAUGGACAGUGUGGACGGUCCUCGGAACGGAGGGGCGCCAUCGACAGGACUCAGGGGCUGGGAGGAAAGAGUGCCCUUGUGCGUGGGGUUGGAAAGUCCCGAUGUUCCUCUCUUCACGCCCGCCCAGAGAGUGU